CCUACGGGAGGCAGCAGUGAGGAAUAUUGGUCAAUGGGCGGAAGCCUGAACCAGCCAAGUAGCGUGCGGGAUGAAGGCCCUACGGGUCGUAAACCGCUUUUGCACGGGGAUAACACCCUCCACUUGUGGAGGUCUGCAGGUACCGUGCGAAUAAGUGCCGGCUAAUUCCGUGCCAGCAGCCGCGGUAAUACGGAGGGCCCGAGCGUUAUCCGGAUUCAUUGGGCUUAAAGGGAGAGUAGGCGGGCUUUCAAGUCAGCGGUAAAAUCGUGGGGCUCAACCGCGCCCCGCAGUUGAAACUGGUCGUCUUGAGUGGACAAGAGGUAGGCGGAAUUCGUGGUGUAGCGGUGAAAUGCAUAGAUAUCACGAGGAACACCGAUUGCGAAGGCAGCCUGCCGGGGUCCGACUGACGCUGAGGCUCGAAGGCGUGGGUAUCAAACAGGAUUAGAUACCCGGGUAGUC
rnacentral:rRNA from 1 species